CUCAAGCUGCUGUUGCAGCCUAUAUUUUUUCGGAUACGUUAGAUCCUUUUGAAGAGUUGGUAAUCUCAGAUGAAAAAGGUUACAGAAGUACAUUUAGAUGUCUUGUGCCGGAGAGAUGUGUCGAAUCACGAGUUAUAAACCUGGUGGCACUUAUGAUGACACGUGUAUUUCGACGUAGGAAUGAAGAUCCAAUUUGCUGGUUCAUGCCUACACAUUU